AUGGCACUAAGCGAACUGAAAGUAGCCAUCGAAGAGCCCGUGCAAGAAACUACAGCUUUCAUCGACGACAUGUAUUCUCAACUGAUGGAGCUCACGGGCAUAGGUGGGACCCGGACCCACCCACCAUACGCACCACCGGCGCCUACCACUCCUGGUAAAAGAGAAAAAUGAUACCUGAAACUGGACGAGCGAUAUGAUUGGAAUGUAGGGACAACAAAUUGUCUGUAAACUAACAUGCAGGAAGGUUGUUUUAAAUGAACAAUAUGAGCAGUUGAUGUAUCUCUGUCAUUUCAUGUAUCAAUCAAAAACUAUGCUCGAUUUCUUCUUUUC